GAGCAAAUGUGACAGUGGUUGGAGAGCUGGAUUACAACUCUGCAGACCAGGGUUCGAUUCCCAGCUUGGCCA
rnacentral:tRNA from 1 species